rnacentral:tRNA from 1 species
GGGCCCGUAGUCUAGCGGUUAUGACGUCGCCCUUACAAGGCGGAGGUCACCAGUUCGAAUCUGGUCGGGCCCA